rnacentral:rRNA from 1 species
AGUGAACGCUGGCGGUAGGCCUAACACAUGCAAGUCGAACGGCAGCACAGUAAGAGCUUGCUCUUACGGGAGGCGAGUGGCGGACGGGUGAGGACUACAUCGGAAUCUACUUUUUCGUGAGGGAUAACGUAGGGAAACUUACGCUAAUACCGCAUACGACCUACGGGUGAAAGCAGGGGAUCUUCGGACCUUGCGCGAUUGAAUGAGCCGAUGUCGGAUUAGCUAGUUGGCGGGGUAAAGGCCCACCAAGGCGACGAUCCGUAGCUGGUAUGAGAGGAUGAUCAGCCAGACGGGAACUGAGACACGGCCCAGACUCCUACAGGAGGCAGCAGUGGGGAAUAUUGGACAAUGGGGGAGAGCCUGAUCCAGCCAAACCGCGUGAGUGAAGAAGGCCUUCGGGUUGUAAAGCCAUUUUGUUGGGAAAGAAGAACAGCAGGUUUAUACCCCGCUGUUAUGACGGUACCCGAAGAAUAAGCACCGGCUAACUUCGUG